ensembl:rRNA 5S_rRNA 5S ribosomal RNA
GCCUACGGUCAAUCCGCUCUCAAUACGCCCGAUCUCACUUGAUCUCGGAAGCUAAGCAGGGCGGACCCAGUAUUGACCUUGGAUGGGAGACCGCCUGGGAAUGCCGGGUGCUGUAGGCC